rnacentral:rRNA from 1 species
GCACAAUGGGCGCAAGCCUGAUGCAGCCAUGCCGCGUGUAUGAAGAAGGCCUUCGGGUUGUAAAGUACUUUCAGCAGUGAGGAAGGCGGGUACGUUAAUAGCGUAUUCGUUUGACGUUAGCUGCAGAAGAAGCACCGGCUAACUCCGUGCCAGCAGCCGCGGUAAUACGGAGGGUGCGAGCGUUAAAUCGGAAUUACUGGGCGUAAAGCGCAUGCAGGUGGUUUGUUAAGUCAGAUGUGAAAGCCCCGGGGCUCAACCUCGGAAUUGCAUUUGAAACUGGCAGACUAGAGUACUGUAGAGGGGGUAGAAUUUCAGGUGUAGCGGUGAAAUGCGUAGAGAUCUGAAGGAAUACCGGUGGCGAAGGCGGCCCCCUGGACAGAUACUGACACUCAGAUGCGAAAGCGUGGGGAGCCAAACAGGAUUAGAUACCCUGGUAG